UCGAUUUGAGGGAUGACGGCCUUCGGGUUGUAAACCUCUUUCAGCAGGGACGAAGCGAGAGUGACGGUACCUGCAGAAGAAGGACCGGCCAACUACGUGCCAGCAGCCGCGGUAAUACGUAGGGUCCGAGCGUUGUCCGGAAUUAUUGGGCGUAAAGGGCUCGUAGGCGGUUCGUCACGUCGGGAGUGAAAACUCGGAGCUCAACUCCGAGCCUGCUUCCGAUACGGGCAGACUAGAGGUAGGCAGGGGAGAGCGGAACUCCUGGUGUAGCGGUGGAAUGCGCAGAUGUCAGGAAGAACACCGGUGGCGAAGGCGGCUCUCUGGGCCUUACCUGACGCUGAGGAGCGAAAGCGUGGGUAGCGAACAGGAUUAGAUACCCUGGUAGUCCACGCCGUAAACGUUGGGCGCUAGGUGUGGGGGACAUUCCACGUCCUCCGUGCCGCAGCUAACGCAUUAAGCGCCCCGCCUG
rnacentral:rRNA from 1 species